GCCGCCGCGGGAACACCGGCAGCUCUAGUGGUAGCAAUUUUAUGGGCCUAAAGCGUCCGUAGCCGGUUUAAUAAGUCUCUGGUGAAAUCCUGCAGCUUAACUGUGGGAAUUGCUGGAGAUACUAUUAGACUUGAGACCGGGAGAGGUUAGAGGUACUCCCAGGGUAGAGGUGAAAUUCUGUAAUCCUGGGAGGACCGCCUGUUGCGAAGGCGUCUAACUGGAACGGUUCUGACGGUGAGGGACGAAAGUUAGGGGCACGAACCGGAUUAGAUACCCGGGUAGUCCUAACUGUAAACGAUGCGGACUUGGUGUUGGGUGGCUUUGAGCUGCUUCAGUGCCGAAGGGAAGCUGUUAAGUCCGCCGCCUGGGAAGUACGGUCGCAAGACUGAAACUUAAGGAAUUGGCGGGGGAGCACCACAACGCGUGGAGCCUGCCGGUUUAAUUGGAUUCAACGCCGGACAUCUCACCAGAGGCGACAGCUGUAUGAUAGCCAGGUUGAUGACUUUGCUUGACUAGCUGAGAAGAGGUGCAUGG
rnacentral:rRNA from 1 species